CCCCACUGAGUGCCCAGAAAGCCAUAGGGAUUGCACUGCCCGUCAUGAAUUACACCCUCAGGUAAACGACAAGGUAUAUUUAAGCUGGGGUUUGACUUUUAAUACAAACUUUAGAGGGGAAAGCAGUAAAAGACACAAUUGGAGAGAAAAGUCUUUCUUUCUGGGUUCUGUGCGCUGUUGCAUUAAAUAUAAUUUAAAGAAUUUCAUUUUCUUCACUAAAAACAGUACUUCUCAACUAGAAUAUCAGUAGCAUCGUCCCAUCAGUUUCUGGUCUUUUGUUUACUUUACUGUCUAUUCCAUCCCACUAAAACAUCUGGAUUACUCAAUGCACAUUUGUUAUCCCAAAUUAGCCAGCGAGUACUAUUUGCUAUUAGUGUUCUGGAUGUUUUAUUUUUCCCUGCAGAACACUAUCAGAUCCAUUUUACAGCUUACAAGCUGAGGUGCAGUGAGAGGUCUCACAGAGCACAAAGCCACAAAUACCAUCUUCCUACGGGAGCACAGGGAUGCAGGGAGCAGUGAGACGACCGCCAGCUGCCAGAGUGCAGCUCCUUCAGGACAACACCCAUGGGCUUUCUGCUCACAGGCAUGCAGCCAUGCAUGCAGACCUGUGCCAACACUCCAGUUUGCUCUGUACUGAAUUCUGCACAAGCAAGGUUGUUAACAACCCGGGCUUAGCUUUUAAAUGUUUGCUUUUUAAUCUAGUUGAAGCACCAAGGAGCUACCAUCAUCACGUGCCAUCAUCAGGAGGGCUUUGUCAGAGAGGAAGAGGAAAAUCUUCCUGUGCUGGACCUGAGUUCAGAGCAGGAGAGCGCGUGCGGAGACAUGAAUCAGAUCACAGAAUGGCCUGGGUCGAAAAGGACCGUCAUGAUCACCUGGUCUCAACCCCCUGCCGUGUGCAGGGUCGCCAGUCACGGUGAGGAAUCCUGCCCAGGGAGCCGGGGAGGGCGAGAGGAAGGGAAAGGAGGAACUCUGCUUAUGCGAACACUUCGCAGGUGCUCUUCGUUCCAUUGUCACAGCUGAUCCCUUCAGCAUAAUCUGAAGCACCGAGUGAAAGAGAUCGCAAUCUGCACUAUGAAACCUGCCGUUCUCCCCGGCUCAACCCACGGACACGUUUACACUUUCUCCACUUUUUCCCCAGCUGAGCACACUACACAUGAUGGGGCUCUCAGCUGCAGCCGCUGCUUACAGUGCUGCAUGAAACCAACACGGCCUUUGUAAAUAAAGCCAUGCAAAUACACACAGGCGCAUACUAACAAAAUGAAACACGACAUUUGCAGAAGUGCAUGCAGAUAUUUACCAAGUUGUGCGUUUUACUUCUGUGUUUCUGUAACUCAGACAAGAGGAACAGCGUAGGUUUAAUAUUUUUAUACUUAUGACUGUAAUUCAAAUACUUGGAAGACGUAUAUCGUACAACAUCUCACCAGGGACGUGUUGUACUGUACCGGGAAGAGCAAGGAAGCAUUUUUAUCCAUAGAAAUGCCAUUUGAGUGCUGCCUCACCAAAAUGCUUUGUACUUUCCUGGUGAAGAGCAGUCUUAGAUAACUGGUUUAAUGUUUAAAGUUAAUGUCAAGAUGCUGCUGUUGGUGUCUGUCCAGAUGAGGGAUCUAACAGAUCUGUCUUCACAUUAAGAACACACAGAAAAUCUUGUAGUGUAAGCUAGAACAAAAAGCCUUUAAUUGCUUUACAAUAGACUUGAAAGUG
ensembl:lncRNA